UACGGAGGGGGCCAGCGUUGUUCGGAAUUACUGGGCGUAAAGCGCACGUAGGCGGACUGUUAAGUCGGGGGUGAAAUCCUGGGGCUCAACCUCAGAAUUGCCUCCGAUACUGGCAGUCUCGAGUGCGGGAGAGGUGAGUGGAAUUCCCAGUGUAGAGGUGAAAUUCGUAGAUAUUGGGAAGAACACCAGUGGCGAAGGCGGCUCACUGGCCCGUAACUGACGCUGAGGUGCGAAAGCGUGGGGAGCAAACAGG
rnacentral:rRNA from 1 species